rnacentral:rRNA from 1 species
CCUACGGGCGGCAGCAGUGAGGAAUAUUGGUCAAUGGACGAAAGUCUGAACCAGCCAAGUCGCGUGAAGGAUGACUGCCCUAUGGGUUGUAAACUUCUUUUAUAUGGGAAUAAAGUGUUCCACGUGUGGGAUUUUGUAUGUACCAUAUGAAUAAGGAUCGGCUAACUCCGUGCCAGCAGCCGCGGUAAUACGGAGGAUCCGAGCGUUAUCCGGAUUUAUUGGGUUUAAAGGGAGCGUAGAUGGGUUGUUAAGUCAGUGGUGAAAGUUUGCGGCUCAACCGUAAAAUUGCAAUUGAUACUGGCAGCCUUGAGUACAGUUGAGGUAGGCGGAAUUCGUGGUGUAGCGGUGAAAUGCUUAGAUAUCACGAAGAACUCCGAUUGCGAAGGCAGCCUACUAA